AUUGAACGCUGGCGGCAAGCUUUACACAUGCAAGUCGAACGGCAGCGCGGGCUUCGGCCUGGCGGCGAGUGGCGAACGGGUGAGUAAUACAUCGGAACGUGCCCAGUAGUGGGGGAUAGCUCGGCGAAAGCCGGAUUAAUACCGCAUACGACCUGAGGGUGAAAGCGGGGGAUCUUCGGACCUCGCGCUAUUGGAGCGGCCGAUGGCAGAUUAGCUAGUUGGUGGGGUAAAGGCCUACCAAGGCGACGAUCUGUAGCUGGUCUGAGAGGACGACCAGCCACACUGGGACUGAGACACGGCCCAGACUCCUACGGGAGGCAGCAGUGGGGAAUUUUGGACAAUGGGCGAAAGCCUGAUCCAGCAAUGCCGCGUGUGUGAUGAAGGCCUUCGGGUUGUAAAGCACUUUUGGCGGGAACGAAAAGGACUGUGCCAAUACCACGGUUCGAUGACGGUACCCGCAGAAUAAGCACCGGCUAACUACAUG
rnacentral:rRNA from 1 species